rnacentral:rRNA from 1 species
AGAACGAACGCUGGCGGCAGGCCUAAUACAUGCAAGUCGAGCGCCCAGUAAUGGGAGCGGCGGACGGGUGCGUAACACGUGGGAACGUACCCUUUGGUUCGGGAUAACUCAGGGAAACUUGAGCUAAUACCGAGUAAGCCCGAGAGGGGAAAGAUUUAUCGCCAAAGGAUCGGCCCGCGUUCGAUUAGCUAGUUGGUGGGGUAAUGGCUCACCAAGGCAACGAUCGAUAGCUGGUUUGAGAGAACGACCAGCCACACUGGGACUGAGACACGGCCCAGACUCCUACGGGAGGCAGCAGUAGGGAAUCUUGGACAAUGGGGGAAACCCUGAUCCAGCCAUGCCGCGUGAGUGAUGAAGGCCUUCGGGUUGUAAACUCUUUCGCGCACGACGAUAAUGACGGUAGUGCGAGAAGAAGCUCCGGCUAACUUCGUGCCAGCAGCCGC